AUCUAAAGAAUCCACAGCACGUGUUGUAGUUUGGAGGGAAAUAGGAGUACAAAGAAGUUAUACCAUGGAGAGUACUUUAUGUGGCUGUGAUCAGGGAAAAUACAAGGGUUUACAAAUUGGUACUCGAGAACUGGAAGAGAUGGGAGCAAAAUUUUGUGUUGGUCUUUUACGUUUGAAAAGACUGACCUCUCCAUUGGACUAUAAUCUGCCUUCCAGCCUGCUUGACUUUGAAAAUGAUUUAAUUGAAUCAAGCUGCAAAGUAACUAGGAACCUUGGCAGCUCUGAACUUCAGUUUUUGCCUCCAAUCCUUUGAAAUUGCUGAAAACUCUGAUGACUUCUCUGCCUCUAACAGCUGCCCUUGCUUGGCCUGGGUUCCACUGGACUUUGCCCCACGCACCUUUUUUUCUUUGCUGAUUUUGCUUUGUAUCCUUUCACUGUAAUAAGUCAUAACUGAAUUCAACUGUGUGCUGAGUCCUGUGAGUCUUCCUAGCAAAUCACUAACCCUGUGGUGGUCUUGGGACCCCUGAUAAGCAUGUUCAUUCUGAAUUUCUGUAAAGGUUGGUUAUCUAGAUUCUAAUGUUCUACUGAGAGUGAUCAGAGAUAGAUGGUAUUGUGAUCCUUUUAUGGAUGUGUGCAGCUGAGGCUCAGAGAGAGAAAUUUACCU
rnacentral:sRNA from 1 species